ACUAUCCCUUUAAAUGGAUUCAGGGGGAGAAAUUCUUCCCAUAUCUUUUGAAAACUCAGGGAGUUUGUUUUUUGUUUUUUGUUUUUCGAUCACUCUGAAAGCCCAUAGAGCACAGUCAGAAUCAAAUUCAGAAAUAAAACCAUCCAGUGCAUUAUGUAAUAUUCAGAUUUUACUCAACGGCAAGUCUCCUCCCCACCGCAGAAGCUCUCAGAAAUUCUUUUCCAGGACUGCAAUAUAUCCAGUGGCAGAGAUGCCAGCCACAGGAAUUUUGAAACUUCUCAACACCCUGGGGCUUUAAAGAUGUCAAAUAUAACAUUUCUCCUGGCAUCAUGGGCCCCUCUAUUGGUCUACCGUGAGGCGAUAUGACUCCAAGGCCAAAAUGAGGGCAAGGAAACAAAAGCCAGCAAGGGGAGGAGGUGGGUAAGGCCACUCUCCAGGACUCUCUACAGCAUGCUGAAAGGCUGAGGCACAGCUCCAGAAGUUUAUUUGGACAACUGCAGAUCUGCAGAGAUGGUGAAACUGCAAGUCUCAACAAACCUCCCUGGUGGGUCAGGUGAGGACACAGGUCACCCUCACUUUUCAGUUUUCAAACUCUGGCAGUGAAAUGCAAAUCUCCCCUCAAGACAUUCAAAAUACAUACGCAAUUGACGUGCUUUAUUUUGUCUUUGCUACAUCUCUGUUCAGUCGCUGCAACCUCCCCAUCCUCUUUGGACUGGUUCCUCUCUAGGCUGACCACCAGAGCUCUUCUGCUGGAUUAGCUCAACUUUAGAGUUAGAAGUAACUAGACUGGCUGAGAGCAUCCCUAAAGGAAAUUGCCUUGGAGUAUGUGCCAGUUCAGGCUUUUUCCUGAAGAGACUUUAUUGCCCCAGUUCAUACAGAAAACAUUCUCCGUCAUGUUGGAUUUAACCUCAACCUCCAAUCAACUACCACAUUUUUAAACUGGUAGUAUGUCAAGUAAAUUUGACAAACAAAGGUGGCUGGCAGGAUCUCAAGGUGGAGAUGAGUGAGCACAGACCUGAGAAGAAGCUGUUACGAGCACCCUGAGAGCAGCCCUGGCCCCUACUCUGCAAAGGGGCUCCAGACCACACCAGCCUAGCCAAUCACCCAGAGGGCCAAAUGUAGCAGAGACUUUGCCAAAGAAGGGAGCGGCAAUGCCACUUGCAUUCCAGAUGCUAGAUGAAGAAAUGGGAACUAUGGACGAAAAAUGAUGAUGUCAUGUAAAAUAAUUUUUUUUCCUGGUUUCUUAAAUUCUUAGCCAAUUCUUCUAGAACAUGUAUUCUCAAAUGAGGGUGAUAAAAUCUUGAUGUUAAAAUAGUUCGUGGCACUCCAAAAGACCACAGUACAUAAACAGUUUGCGUGUUUAUCUGUGAUAUUAUAUUUUUAAUUUAUUUUAUUGAAAUAUAGUUGUUUUACA